rfam:Triticum aestivum genome assembly, contig: Triticum_aestivum_CS42_TGACv1_scaffold_229166_3B
UGUGUACUCCCUCCGUUCCAAAAUACUUGACUUCCGUUUGUCCAAAAAUGGAUGUACCUAUAUACUAAAACAUGUCUAGAUACAUAUAUAUAUUUUGACAAAUAGAAGGCAUGUAUUAUGCAACGGAGGGAGUAGAAU